GUGGAUAUGGCUCAGUGGUAGAGUGUUUACUUAGCAAGCAUGAAGCUCUGGGUUCAGUCCCAGUAACACA
rnacentral:tRNA from 1 species